rnacentral:rRNA from 1 species
ACGCUCGACACCUACGGGGGCAGCAGCGAGGAAUAUUGGUCAAUGGGCGCUAGCCUGAACCAGCCAAGUAGCGUGAAGGAUGAAGGCUCUAUGGGUCGUAAACUUCUUUUAUAUAAGAAUAAAGUGCAGUAUGUAUACUGUUUUGUAUGUAUUAUAUGAAUAAGGAUCGGCUAACUCCGUGCCUGCAGCCGCGGUAAUCUGAGCGGGCUGGCAAGGC